rnacentral:lncRNA from 1 species
GAGACGACGUGUUUACCAGAAGAGGCAUCUCCACCAGAGAUUACAUUGCCAGAGGAGAUAUUUUACCAGAGGAGUUGUCAAAUGCGCGGGAAGAUCUCCCGCGUAUUGUUGAAAUUACCAGCAUACCCUUCCACCACGCAAGACGCAUGCACCAAAGACGUUUUUACUAUUUUACCCCUCCGCUUGUAAAUCUAUAAAUAGGGCCCGAGCUCGUGUA